rnacentral:lncRNA from 1 species
GUUACUCAGGAAGGUGAUGAGAAGGAGAUGCCGGAACAAGGUGCUGAGAUGCUGCAAGAUGACGAGCCCGCAGGUAACCUUCACGACGAGCACACUGCUGAUGACGCGAGUGCUGGAGGCCAGGUCGGUGUAUCGAGGGCUCGAGAUGGCGCUGAUUGAGGUUGUUGCUGCGACUGGGCAGUUGACCACAGGUUGAUCAUCAAUACGGUACUGCUAACUUGUGGCUCUGUAUGUCUGUAAUAUGGUCAUCUAACAUUAACAUGGAGUUUAUCUUGUGUGCCUUGAUCUGGCAAUGAUCGGUUCGUCCGUCGGAUGAGGUAGCAAGAGUAUUAGCUUCAUUUGUUUUUUGCUAGUUUAAUUAUGACUAUGUGGUAAGUCAGAGUGAUUGUGAUCUUGCUGUAUGCCUGCCCCAUGUGGCAUGAAUGGAACCAGUCAGGUACUAUGACUAUGAAUUAAGGAGGGUAAUGAUCUACUCCACGAGCAGUGGCAAAAGUGAAGUGAAUGUGCUAGUACUUUUUAUGGUGUAGUCAAGAGGAUCUGAUUGUCCUUUUCUUUGCCUAUUACAAAACAGAGUUACUUUUGGUUCUGUGUCAAUCUGGUUUUUCAGUGUAUUUAUUUGAGCCAAGUUUGUUGAGAGCACUCAGUAAACAUGCUUCCUCUGUAAAUGGAGAAUUCAUCAUCGUGCUCAUUCAGUAAACAACCAACGCAGGCAGCGGCGACCAAGGCCUUGCAAAAUAGAAGAAGCUCUUGCCGAUGCAAACAACCUCCGAUGUCACCCCGUCCUGCUCUUAUCCCUGGGAGAAAUGACAUGCAUACCCCUCUGAAAUCACAUUCCUCUAACCUGCCUCUUGGUUGAAUGCCCAUGCCAUUAGCGUCAUUUCCUGGCUGGAUCAUGAGGAAGUGGCAGUGUGCACACUGCAUCCCCAUGAUUCCAUGACACCAUACCUUUCAGUGCAAAGCUGGCCUUAGCUCAUGAAACGCAUGCAACAUUCUUGAUCGAACAGCACCAUUUGCAUUGUGUAAGUUUGAGUCAAGUACUCAAGUAUGUGGCCAGCAUUACUAGUGUAGUUAAUUAAGUAAAGCAAAUUAAAUUAAACGGGGGUGUGGAUUUUGAAAUCCUUCACACCUUUGUUGCAUCCCACCUACUCGGCGAUGAUACCGGUGCGGCGAUCGGAUAAAAGAGAGAGUACAGCCAUUCUAAUCGCCAGAUUUUCACCAGUAAUUGGGCACUUGCAUUUCUGAAGUGCAUCCCCAAAAUGGCAUAGAGGUGUAUGGCCCUAUGUUUUGCUGAUGAUGCAAUGCAACACCCUUGCUGCAGCCAGCAGCCUUCAGUUGUGAUGGUUCUUCAGUUAGCGGUUGCUUUCAACUGAUACACACCGUUUUUCCGGAUCGGUCCAUUUGCCGGCCGAUCGCUGAGCAGCCUUUAGUGAAAGAUAGCUUUCUUCUGAGCCCAUCCAAGAACAACCAUGACAUUGACACCAAGCAGUCUAGGUUUAUGUAAUUCUGUUAGCUCACACUUGACUCUGCUUGCUGAUGGACUGAUGGUCAUGAUGGUAGUGGUACUAGUACUAGUACUAUAUAAUGUACUGUACUGCCUUUGCUGCUUGCAAUCGUGUGUAGUCUGAAGUUUCUUGCAGCCGGUGACAUCAACAAAUCCUAUGCUGAUUCCUGGCAGCAGAGAAACCCUUGCGUAUGCAUGGAUUGAAUUGAUUGCAACCUGCUUCGAUCGAUGUGUCACUCUCACUCACUUGCUCAGUCCUAGGACAAGCUGCUGACCACUGCGCACUGGUGGUGAGCUGAGCNNNNNNNNNNNNNNNNNNNNNNNNNNNNNNNNNNNNNNNNNNNNNNNNNNNNNNNNNNNNNNNNNNNNNNNNNNNNNNNNNNNNNNNNNNNNNNNNNNNNNNNNNNNNNNNNNNNNNNNNNNNNNNNNNNNNNNNNNNNNNNNNNNNNNNNNNNNNNNNNNNNNNNNNNNNNNNNNNNNNNNNNNNNNNNNNNNNNNNNNNNNNNNNNNNNNNNNNNNNNNNNNNNNNNNNNNNNNNNNNNNNNNNNNNNNNNNNNNNNNNNNNNNNNNNNNNNNNNNNNNNNNNNNNNNNNNNNNNNNNNNNNNNCAUCAUCGGCGGUGUGGCUGUUCAUGGCCAUGGAGGGGGAGGCUGCGCUCAGGCCGCUCGUCGGCGGCGCCCACGGCUGGGACUACUGCAUCUACUGGCGCCUCUCUCCUGACCAGAGGUAUGGACGUGUGUGCGUGUGUGUGUGUGUUCGACUGUUCAAUGUUCAUACAAUUCUUGCAGCUAGAGCCUAGAGCUUGAUGGUGAUGAUCCAUGGCAGGUUCUUGGAGAUGACGGGGUUCUGCUCCAGCCCGGAGUUCGAGGCGCAGGUGGCCGCGCUCGGCGACAUCCCUUCCUCCAUCCCUCUCGACUCCUCCGAUUAAAGAGGCACAUGCAAUUGCCUGCCGGCCAUGUCGAUCGCCGUUAAUUUUUGGUCGGAGCUCUGCUGACGGUUGAUUUUGUUGGUUGGUCAGGAUGUAUUGGGAUUAAACAAGACCUCCGAGUACACGUCUGUGUACGUAUCGGAGUUGUACUCCCCAGUAGGAUCCGACUAGGAGUAGUUUGCUUAUGCUAGCCAACUGUCAUAACUGGUGGGACUACUCUAGCAUGGGUGAGUGAUCUUAUAGAUGAAGAGAAUUGGUCUUGGAAGAUAGACUUGAUUCGAGACGUGUUCAUCCCCCCGGAAGCAGAAGCUAUACUUAAUAUACCGCUGCGUCACGGAGGAGGCGAUGAUUUCCUUGCUUGGGCCCAUGAAAGAAAUGGCAACUACUCUGUCAAAUCUGCGUACCGUGCUCUCGUGACUCGCAAAGAGCGUGUAGCUCUAGAGGAAGGGACGGCUACAAGUACCUCACAGACUGAUGGACAGAUGUGGAAGCGAUUAUGGAAGCUCAAGGUUUUGCCAAAAGUGCGUGUAUUCUGGUGGCGAGUGGUGCGGGAAAUAUUACCAGAUGAAUGCACUCUGAAGCGUAGACAUAUACAAGAAAUUGGAAGAUGCAAAGUGUGUUUGGCAAUGGAUGAGGAUUUGAUGCACGCUCUAGUGCAUUGCCCCCAUGCAAAAAUGUUCUGGGAAGAAGCCUAUGAUUGGCUGGGUGUACGCCGGCCUCGGCUUCAUCCCGAUACGUGGGCGCGAGACAUCUUGUCUGACUCACAGUUCACGGAUAUGCAAAGGUCUCAGAUGAUUUCUGUUACGUGGGCGAUCUGGCAUUCAAGAAACAGAAUUACACAUGAUGGAGAGAAGCUGGACCCAGUAACGACUAUUAGGCGGAUCAAGGAUGAUCUGGCCGUGUUGGAUAUACCCCAAGCUGCGGCUGCUAUACUACCAGGAUUCGGUUGGAUUCCUCCGGAUCCAGGUGUGAUUAAGAUUAAUACAGAUGCAGCAAUGAGUUUGGUCUCGGCAAGGUGUGGUGCAGGGGGAGUUGCUCGUUCUGACGAACGCUUGCUGGGUUCUUGGAGUAAACCUCAUCAUGGAGUUACAAAUCCGUUCAUUGGUGAAGCACUAGCGCUGAGAGAUGGUGUUAUUUUUGCAAGUUUGCGCGGUUUUUCACACGUGAUCAUGGAGACCGACUGCCUGGAGGUAGUGAACCUCUGGACAUCUCGCCACAGUAAUCGCUCUGCUGUGGCACCUUUACUUGUAGAAAUUGGAGAGCUAGCGGCAAAUUUUACUUCUUUUCGUAUUCAACAUGUAAGCAGGUCAGCCAACGUACCGGCCCAUCUUUGUGCUAAGCAUGCAUGCUCACUGAUGGUAACCGAGAGUUGGACUGACACUAGACCUGCGUUCCUGCUCACUAGCCUAAUGGCUGAUGAUGGCAGAUUUUCUUCAGUUGAAUAAAGCUUUCUAGUUUUGAACGCAAAAAAAGGCAUAUAUAUAUAUAUAUAUAUAUAUAUAUAUAUAUUAGAUGACCCGUUGUGCCCAUGGCGCAAAGGCCGGAAGCAAACCAAGUAUUUGACAGAGUGAACAUUAAAAUAUUUAGACACAGAUUAAACAUAUGGAAAUGAGUAGUUACUGCUGGUAGAUAGUUGCUUACUGAUGAUACAUAGUGUUCUAAGAAGUUUACAAAUGAUUAUUUACAAUGUUAUUAGCAAGGAAGUAGAUAGCCAGAGAUAUAUCAUAUAGACGCUAUGAAUUGAAGAAUAUUAGAUAGACCCAUUGCCGCGCGUUUCAUCAGUAUUGACAACAACUUUCUUGUCCAGGCAACUCUUCAUAGUAGUUGCGAUUGGUGACUCACAUUGCCCAGAGCAGAAAUUCCUUCAAUAUGUAGUCGACUGGUGGAGCUCCGCGAUGAUCGGCUCUCCACCAUCACUACAGAAAAGCUUCGCCUCCCUUGGCAUACUCAUUAUAUGGAGCAUUUCGAAGCACCGCAACUCCAUGGUAUUUGAUACUGCUCGCCCCUCCAUGGAUCUGGUGAUCCAGAGCAUUCUCGAUGAGGCACGUUCUUGGGCCUUGGCCGGGGCUAGGGGAUUUGUGGUGAUCACCCAAUUUGAGCCACCAUAGGCGUGCACCUGUUUGUGUUUGAGCUGAGCACCCCGGCUUCUUCUGCUCAUUGUAGAUCCAUCCUCGCCCUCCGGUGUACGAGCUAUGUAUCUACCACCUUGUAACUCUUGUUCUCCUACCUAUCAAUGAAAUGAUACACAACUUGUGUAUUCACGAGAAAAAAGGACAGAGGCCACCCAAGUGAGAACAAUGACCAACACGAGGAAAUCCAUUUAAGCAGUGCCAAAGGCGGAAAAUAGUAGAGAUGGAAAAACAAUUUUGCAAGCAUCAAAGCAGUCCAUGGCCUCUGCCACACCGAUCAAGAAGCAAGAAAAACACUACAUUGAACUAUAGUUUUUGUUAGACCUCAUGUCCAGAACAGUGUGACCGUUUAUUGCAGUUCAAAAUUCUCAUUGAUCAUAGAGUGAAAUGAGCAUCUAUGAAUAAAGAGCGUGCAGUAAGAAAUGUGUGCACUGUACUGCCAAAUUUCUUGACUGACUCUACCAACCUCACAUACUUUCUCCUGCUAGCGAUGUCCGUGUUCCUACAAAGGGAAGCAAAACAUUCAACUAUUACCACUCCACUUCCAGUAUAUAUAUGGUACCAACAGCUUGGCAUAGAAUCUAAUGUUUUCCUGUGAGUUCAUGUAUCGGCCAUUGGGAGAAUAUUACAGGGUGGAGGCAGAAGGAGAAUAAUUAAAUAGCAAGACCGUACAUGAAAAUAAGCUGCAACAUGCAACUCAUGAAGUAAAAAAGAGAUCUUACUUCUCAAAUGUGCUUCAUAGCCAUCCAAAUACACUCUUUUUGUAAACUUAUACAUUGUUUAUCCCAAACCGUUUGGAACUCAUACAACAGCAGCACUAUUUCUGCAGAAAUUAUCAAAGCCAACAGUUUUAGCAUGUCUGCGUCUCACACUCGAGAUUUAUAUAUUUAUAUUCAUUACUGCUAGCAAACAAAGAAACUAUCGUACCUAAUAAAGCAAGGAUCAGGAAUGGUCUAUUAAACCAACAAACUGAACAGAUCUUUUAAAACCACUCCUAGAGAGCACGAGCAGCAGAGGUCAAAUAUAUUUCGAGCCCAAAGCACUCAACCUUAGCAUGCUAGCAUCAGAAACUAAUGUAGAGAAGAACAGCUGCCAUUAAAUGUUCUGCAAAUCUAGUAGAUCAUCAAUUGGACAGAUAUAAUGAGAAGACAUUUGUGACAAAGAGAAAGAAAGCUUUCGACGAACAGCACCACAUGGAGGUGCCUCGCUACUGGUUGUACCGAGCUUUUGACGGACAGGACAAUGGGGAGGCAUGGCUCUACUGGUAGGACAUAAGCAAUGGGAGGUCCGUCGGCAAGAAGCACGCAGCACACCGAAACAGAAAUACUAACUGGAGAAAUCUUGACGAUUUAAAAAUAAAUAAACUGCUGCAACAAAAGAAGCUUAUAAUCAAUCGAGUUGUGGAGUUGUUUAUAUGAAGAAGGAUCACCAAAGGAAAUAGUAGAUCAAGAAAGAAAACCAAAAAACACAUUAGAAAGUAAACAUGGGGCAAAAUGAAUAAAGUAAAACCAAGGCAGAGGUCACCCAAGGCAGAACAUCAAACAGUGCGAGAAAGGAACAUCAAAGAAACACUAAAGAGAGAAAACAGCGAAGAGGAAAAAAGUCCACGCAAAUAUAAAAAGAAGCCAUGCCCAUGGCCUCCAAAAAACUGAUCAAGAAGCGGAAAAAACAGUACACCGAUCAACCAAUGCAUUUUUCAGAUUUAGAACAUACCUAGGAACUUUUUUUUUGAGAAACCGAACAUACUUAGGAACUACCCCAUUGGGCUACCAUUGGUGAAGUAUCUUGAUUCUUUCUAUAACAUAGUACGGUAAAAGGAAAGGCACAGACACAGUUUACACCCACAACCCCGAAACAAUAUCAACCAUGACCCACAGAAUAAAGGUAAAACCUUGUAAAUUCUUAAUAAAAAAUACACCCAUUGGGCUUAUAAUCAAGCAAGGUACUCCCUCUGUAAAGAAAUAUAAAAGCGUUUGGAUCACUAUUUUAGUGAUGUAGACACUCUUAUAUUUCUUUAUGAAGGGAGUAACAUAUAUCUUUUCUUAGAUAAUACCUCAAACAGAACAUUAUAUGUACAUCUCACACUACAGGGAAAAAGACCAUACUAUACAUCUACAUCACUACCAGAAAAACUGGGGUUGCCGACGGCCAAAUAUAUGCCGACGGCCCCCGUCGGCAUCGCCGGACAUAUGCCGACGGCCAAGGAUAGGCCGUAGGCGUAGAAAAGCCGUCGGCAUACAUCCAUCUAUGCCGACGGGGCCAUCGGCAUAGACGAGGCCGUCGGGACCGCCCGAGAUACGCCUACGGGGCCCGUCGGCAUAGGUCAGGCCAUCGGCAUAGCACGGGCCCACCUGCCCGGUCAGCGCUGACCAUUUGACGGUGUUGAACCUACGCCGACGGGUGGUAACGGCGGCCGUCGGCAUAUCUGUGGCAAAGGUAUGCCUACGGCAUAGCCGUCGGCAUAGGCCCCUCUGCCACGUCAACGAUCCGUGUGCCACGCCACGUAAUCGAUCCGUGUGUGCGCAGGUAUGCCGACGGCCUUGCCGUCGGCAUAUGUUUACUUUACUUACUUUUUUAAAUUUAUCUAUGGCAGAGGUAUGCCUACGGCACAGCCGUCGGCAUAGGCCCCUUCGCCACGUCAUCGAUCGUUGUGCCGCGCCACGUCACCGAUCCAUGGGACAACCUCCGUGUAUGCACAUAUAUGUUAACGGCCUUGCCGUCGGCAUACGUGGGCAUUACUUUAUUUUUUUAUUUUUACUUUGUUUUGUUAUUUUUACUUUAUUUUAGUUUUUGCUUUUGCAUAAGAUAAUUAUGCCUUAUCUAAAAAACAAACCCGAUGGUAUAUCGAUUGCCCCCCGUUACGAACGUCGCUAUCGCCGUGUCACGGAGGGGGGAAACGGUCGACACGGAAGGAAUUCUGGUUGGUGGGGGGUUCGGGAUCUUGCUGUGGGUCUGGCCCGGAUGUUGCUCCAAAGUGUUCCUAUGGGCUGACCUAACACAACCGGGUAGGGAGGUCCACUGGUCAAAGUCCGUCUGUGCAAAGUCAAAGGGCUAGAUCCCGUGGUCAAACGCUACAGGGUUAGGCGGGACAGGGGCACUGGGGGGAGGGGGUAGCAAUGCCACCGGAGCGUCGCACCGGGCCCUCAUACAUGCGGGGUGGUUGUGUGGCAUGUCCGAAGAGGCGGGACGCGUCUCCGGGGCGUGGCCCCCCCUCACGGACGGCGAUGACACGGUAGUAGACGUUCUGCGGUAACGAUGCGGCGUCAAUAUUACUAAAUACUCGGAGCGCGAUAAAAUCAUGAGUUUUUUUGCACGACGCGGGCACAUAUGCUAUAGGAACGAUGGUAUUUUUUCAUAAUUUUCGGUGAUGGAGAAGUAUCCGAAAAAUUCCCUCUACGCGGAUUGCCCUUCAUGCGUCUACGGCUGUGGCCGGCGGCCUCCGGGGGCUAGCAUGCCGCCAAAUCUUGCGUAGGUGGCCUCUCACAAGUCUGGAAGUGUUGUGGCGGUUGCAAACGCCCGGCACGCGUGUCCGGGGUGUGCCCCCCCUCACGGACGGCGCCGCCGCCGGCACCUGGAGGGGGGAAACGGAUGCGUGGGGUCUACACGGAGGGGAUCUUGCUGUGGGUCUGGCCCGGAUGUUGCUCCAAAGUGUUCCUAUGGGCUGACCUAACACAACCGGGUGGGGAGGUCCACUGGUCAAAGCCCGUCCGUGCAAAGUCAAAGGGCUAGAUCCCGUGGUCAAACGCUAUAGGGUUAGGCGGGACAGGGCACUGGGGGGUAGCAAUGCCACCGGAGCGUCGCACCAGGCCCUCAUACAUGCGGGGUGGUGUGGUGGCAUGUCCGAAGAGGCGGGACGCGUCUCCGAGGCGUGCCCCCCCCCUCACGGACGGCGAUAACACGGUAGUAGACGUUCUGCGGUAACGAUGCGGCGUCAAUAUUACUAAAUACUCGGAGCGCGAUAAAAUCAUAAGUUAUUUUGCACGACGCGGGCACAUGUGCUAUAGGAACGAUGGUAUUUUUUCAUAAUUUUUGGUGAUGGAGAAGUAUCCGAAAAAUUCCCUCUACGCGGAUUGCCCUUCGCGCGUCUACGGCUGUGGCCGGCAGCCUCCGGGGGCUAGCAUGCCGCCAAAUCUUGCGUAGGCGGCCUCUCACAAGUCUGGAAGUGUUGUGGAGGUUGCAAAUGCCCGGCACGCAUGUCCGGGGUUUGCCCCCCCUCACAGACGGCGCCGUCGCGGACACCUGGAGGGGGGAAAUGGACGCGUGGGGUCUACACGGAGGGGAUCUUGCUGUGGGUCUGGCCCGGAUGUUGCUCCAAAGUGUUCCUAUGGGCUGACCUAACACAACCGGGUGGGGAGGUCCACUGGUCAAAGCCCGUCCGUGCAAAGUCAAAGGGCUAGAUCCCGUGGUCAAACGCUACAGGGUUAGGCGGGACAGGGGCAUUGGGGGGGGGGGUAGCAAUGCCACCGGAGCAUCGCACCGGGCCCUCAUACAUGCGGGGUGGUGUGGUGGCACGUCCGAAGAGGCGGGACGCGUCUCCGGGGCGUGGCCCCCCCUCACGGACGGCGAUGACACGGUAGUAGACGUUCUGCGGUAACGAUGCGGCGUCAAUAUUACUAAAUACUCGGAGCGCGAUAAAAUCAUGAGUUUUUUUGCACGACGCGGGCACAUGUGCUAUAGGAACGAUGGUAUUUUUUCAUAAUUUUUGGUGAUGGAGAAGUAUCCGAAAAAUUCCCUCUACGCGGAUUGCCCUUCGCGCAUCUACGGCUGUGGCCGGCGGCCUCCAGGGGCUAGCAUGCCGCCAAAUCUUGCGUAGGCGGCCUCUCACAAGUCUGGAAGUGUUGUGGCGGUUGCAAACGCCUGGCACGCGUGUCCGGAGUGUGCCCCCCUCACGGACGGCGCCGCCGCCGGCACCUGGAGGGGGGAAACGGACGCGUGGGGUCUACACGGAGGGGAUCUUGCUGUGGGUCUGGCCUGGAUGUUGCUCCAAAGUGUUCCUAUGGGCUGACCUAAUAUAACCGGGUGGGGAGGUCCACUGGUCAAAGCCCGUCCGUGCAAAGUCAAAGGGCUAGAUCCCGUGGUCAAACGCUACAGGGUUAGGCGGGACAGGGGCACUGGGGGUAGCAAUGCCACCGGAGCGUCGCACCGGGCCCUCAUACAUGCGGGGUGGUGUGGUGGCAUGUCCGAAGAGGCGGGACGCGUCUCCGGGGCGUGGCCCCCCCUCACGGACGGCAAUGACACGGUAGUAGACGUUCUGCGGUAACGAUGCGGCGUCAAUAUUACUAAAUACUCGGAGCGCGAUAAAAUCAUGAGUUUUUUUGCACGAUGCGGGCACAUGUGCUAUAGGAACGAUGGUAUUUUUUCAUAAUUUUUGGUGAUGGAGAAGUAUCCGAAAAAUUCCCUCUUCGCGGAUUGCCCUUCGCGCGUCUACGGCUGUGGCCGGCGGCCUCCGGGGGCUAGCAUGCCGCCAAAUCUUGCGUAGGCGGCCUCUCACAAGUCUGGAAGUGUUGUGGCGGUUGCAAACGCCCGGCACGCAUGUCCGGGGUGUGCCCCUCCUCACGGACGGCGCUGCCCCGAGAACACCAUGGACCAGCCGGACAGCAGCAACCCAUUAUUUAUAUCUGGGCGAUCGGUCCUGACAAUGGGCAAACACCAUACAUUUACACUAUUCUCGUAGCUGUAUAUGGGUCCGUAUAAGGUGAAAAAGCCUGACAGGAGUGAAUCACGAUGCAUAUUCCCACGAGGAGGAUACCGAGCUGCCUGACGCUCGGCCUCUGCAAUACCACUCUCGGGUAAACCCAAGGUACUUGCACGGAAGGGAGACCAGUUGCACAGAUAAAGUAUCACUCACAUCGAGCCCAUUGCAGCUAAUAGGGUAAGCCACUGUUGGGAGUUAUACUCUCCACUUUUUUUGGCAGGAGUUAUAUGAAGAGAAUAGGUGUUGCGACGGUCAAACUAGUGUGCUUGGGAAUAUGAGAAGUCUAAAAAUGCAACCCAGGCUUAAAUGACAGUUGCCUUCAUAACUUUUGGCCCGUGUGUGCCCUUCCAGUCCCUGGACGCUUUCUCUUCUCCAUAAGUAAGACCACCGGACGAGCAUUCCCUUGUACGUUCGUCUACAGCGCAGCAACCUCCAGCACCGCGGUGAGCUUCUUCUACCUAGUUGCUCACCGUGAGGGAGAAGUACCCUGGAAGGGACCGCAUCCACAUUGCCGACGGAUCAGGUUUGCACAUAGCUCAUUGUGGCAUGCUCUCCUUCCUACUCCCUCUGCCAACCGGAGACGCGUCCCGCCUCUUCGGACAUGCCACCACACCACCCCGCAUGUAUGAGGGCCCGGUGCGACGCUCCGGUGGCAUUGCUACCCCCCAAGUGCCCCCGUCCCGCCUAACCCUGUAGCGUUUGACCACGCGAUCUAGCCCUUUGACUUUGCACGGACGGGCUUUGACCAGUGGACCUCCCCACCCGGUUGUGUUAGGUCAGCCCAUAGGAACACUCUGGAGCAACAUCCGGGCCAGACCCACAGCAAGAUCCCCUCCGUGUAGACCCGACGCGUCCGUUUCCCCCCUCCAGGUGCCGGCGGCGGCGCCGUCCGUGAGGGGGGGGCACACCCCGGAGACGCGUGCCGCCUCUUCGGACAUGCCACCACACCACCCCGCAUGUAUGAGGGCCCAGUGCGACGCUCCGGUGGCAUUACUACUCCCCCACGGCCCCCGUCCUGCCGUGUAGACCUCACGGGCGUGGCUGCCGCCGUGUCCCGAAGGGGGGAAACGGCCACGUCGGGCCGACACGGAGGGUAUCUUUGGGUGGUUUGGGCCGAAAUGGUGUUGGGGGGUGCAGCACAUGCCGUAAAAAAAAUAAAAAAAAUGCCGUAACAAAAAAAAAA